GCGCGGGCCGGGGCGUAUUUCUAUGCGGCCGAGCCGCUCCUGCCCCGCUCCAUUCGGGAACGCUCGUGCUGGGAUGCGGCGGGAUCCUCGUCGGAGCGCUGUGCCAGGGACAGCUCCCGGUUCUGCGCGAAUCCCGGGGCGUUCAGGUCACAGGAUAUACUGGGAUUGAGAGGGUUCCUAAAAUCCGACUCUCGAGGACACGGCCCGUGGGAGAAUUGAACUCACAACCUUGGCACUACCUGGACUGUGCUCCGACUGACUGAGCCCUCUGCAUCACAGGGAGAAGUGAGCAGGACAGGUUCUGAGGCUUCCCUUGCUGCGUGACCUGAGUUCCUCUGGAGAGUGGCAGGUGGCAUUUCCUGCAG